rnacentral:lncRNA from 1 species
GUGAGACAGAGAAAUAUUAAGUUCAAUUUGUUUUCAAAAGAAGAUGGUAAGAAAAAAAUUGAGAUAGGUGGGAGUGAAUUUAGAAAGGAAGAAUUAAAAAUUAAUUAAAAAAUGAAAGAGAUUGGAGAAUAGGGUUUAAGAGAAAUAACUUGCUAGAAACCAAAAUCCAAUAUGAAAAAAAAAAAAGAUAUCUUGUUGACGUCUUUGUG